CGGACGGGUGAGUAACGCGUGAGAAUCUGCCAAGAGGUUUGGGACAACAGCUGGAAACGGCUGCUAAUACCAAAUAUGCACAACUGUGAAAGGGGUUUACCCCGCCUCAUGAUGAGCUCGCGUCUGAUUAGCUAGUUGGUGGUGUAAGGGACUACCAAGGCGACGAUCAGUAGCUGGUCUGAGAGGACGAUCAGCCACACUGGGACUGAGACACGGCCCAGACUCCUACGGGAGGCAGCAGUGAGGAAUUUUCCGCAAUGGGCGAAAGCCUGACGGAGCAAUACCGCGUGAGGGAAGAAGGCUCUAGGGUUGUAAACCUCUUUUCUCAGGGAAGAGCACAAUGACGGUACCUGAGGAAUAAGCAUCGGCUAACUCCGUGCCAGCAGCCGCGGUAAUACGGAGGAUGCAAGCGUUAUCCGGAAUGAUUGGGCGUAAAGCGUCCGCAGGUGGCAAUUUAAGUCUGCUGUUAAAGCAUCUGGCUUAACCAGAUAAAAGCAGUGGAAACUAAAUAGCUAGAGUGCGGUAGGGGCAGAGGGAAUUAAGAGAGUAGCGGUGAAAUGCGUAGAUACUCUUAAGAACACCAGUGGCGAAAGCGCUUUGCUAGGCCUGCACUGACACUAAUGGACGAAAGCUAGGGGAGCAAAUGGGAUUAGAUACCCCAGUAGUC
rnacentral:rRNA from 1 species